rnacentral:rRNA from 1 species
UGCCAGCCGCCGCGGUAAUACGGAGGGUGCAAGCGUUGUCCGGAUUUAUUGGGUUUAAAGGGUGCGUAGGCGGGAUAUUAAGUCAGUGGUGAAAGCCUUCGGCUCAACCGAAGAACUGCCAUUGAAACUGAUAUUCUUGAGUACGGAUGAGGUAAGCGGAAUUUAUGGUGUAGCGGUGAAAUGCAUAGAUACCAUAAAGAACACCGAUAGCGAAGGCAGCUUACUAGACCGUAACUGACGCUAAUGCACGAAAGCGUGGGGAGCGAACAGGAUUAGAUA